CGGCUGUAUCACGUUGAAACACCGGUUACCGUACGAUCACCGAAGUUAAGCAACAUCGGGAUAGGUUAAUAUCUAGAUGGGUGACCGCUUGGAUAAUACCAAGUGCU